UACGAAGGGGGCUAGCGUUGUUCGGAAUUACUGGGCGUAAAGCGCACGUAGGCGGAUAUUUAAGUCAGGGGUGAAAUCCUGGAGCUCAACUCCAGAACUGCCUUUGAUACUGGCGAUCUUGAGUCCGGAAGAGGUGAGUGGAACUCCUAGUGUAGAGGUGGAAUUCGUAGAUAUUAGGAAGAACACCAGUGGCGAAGGCGGCUCACUGGUCCGGUACUGACGCUGAGGUGCGAAAGCGUGGGGAGCAAACAGG
rnacentral:rRNA from 1 species